rnacentral:rRNA from 1 species
UACGAAGGGGGCUAGCGUUGCUCGGAAUCACUGGGCGUAAAGCGCACGUAGGCGGCUUUUUAAGUCAGGGGUGAAAUCCUGGAGCUCAACUCCAGAACUGCCUUUGAUACUGGGAAGCUUGAGUUCGGGAGAGGUGAGUGGAACUGCGAGUGUAGAGGUGAAAUUCGUAGAUAUUCGCAAGAACACCAGUGGCGAAGGCGGCUCACUGGCCCGAUACUGACGCUGAGGCACGAAAGCGUGGGGAGCAAACAGG